GUGUCAGCAGCCGCGGUAAUACGUAGGGGGCGAGCGUUGUCCGGAUUUAUUGGGCGUAAAGGGUGCGUAGGCGGCCUUGUAAGUCAGAUGUGAAAUCUCACGGCUUAACCGUGGUAAGCAUUUGAAACUGUGAGGCUUGAGUACAGGAGAGGAGAGUGGAAUUCCUAGUGUAGCGGUGAAAUGCGUAGAUAUUAGGAGGAAUACCAGUGGCGAAGGCGACUCUCUGGACUGUAACUGACGCUGAGGCACGAAAGCGUGGGGAGCAAACAGGAUUAGAUACCCUGGUAGUCCACGCCGUAAACGAUGAGUGCUAGGUGUCGGGGGUCAAACCUCGGUGCCGCAGUUAACACAUUAAGCACUCCGCCUGGGGAGUACGGUGGCAACACUGAAACUUAAAUAAAUUGACGG
rnacentral:rRNA from 1 species